CUGAGUACGGCGGAACACGUGAAAUUCCGUCGGAAUCCGGGAGGACCAUCUCCCAAGGCUAAAUACUCCCUAGUGACCGAUAGUGAACCAGUACCGUGAGGGAAAGGUGAAAAGCACCCCGGAAGGGGAGUGAAACAGUUCCUGAAACCGUGUGCCUACAAGUAGUUAGAGCCCGUUAAUGGGUGAUAGCGUGCCUUUUGUAGAAUGAACCGGCGAGUUACGAUUUGUUGCAAGGUUAAGCGGAAAAAGCGGAGCCGUAGCGAAAGCGAGUCUGAAUAGGGCGCAUAAGUAACAGGUCGUAGACCCGAAACCAGGUGAUCUACCCAUGUCCAGGAUGAAGGUAAGGUAAUACUUACUGGAGGUCCGAACCCACGCACGUUGAAAAGUGCGGGGAUGAGGUGUGGGUAGCGGAGAAAUUCCAAUCGAACUUGGAGAUAGCUGGUUCUCUCCGAAAUAGCUUUAGGGCUAGCCUCGAGGUAAAGAGUCAUGGAGGUAGAGCACUGUUUGGACUAGGGGCCCUUCUCGGGUUACCGAAUUCAGAUAAACUCCGAAUGCCAUGUACUUAUACUCGGGAGUCAGACUGCGAGUGAUAAGAUCCGUAGUCGAAAGGGAAACAGCCCAGACCACCAGUUAAGGUCCCCAAAUAUAUGUUAAGUGGAAAAGGAUGUGGGGUUGCUUAGACAACCAGGAUGUUGGCUUAGAAGCAGCCACCAUUGAAAGAGUGCGUAAUAGCUCACUGGUCGAGUGACCCCGCGCCGAAAAUGUACCGGGGCUAAACAUAUUACCGAAACUGUGGAUGAACCUCUUUAGAGGUUCGUGGUAGGAGAGCGUUCUAAGGGCGGUGAAGUCAGACCGGAAGGACUGGUGGAGCGCUUAGAAGUGAGAAUGCCGGUAUGAGUAGCGAAAGAAGGGUGAGAAUCCCUUCCACCGAAUAUCUAAGGUUUCCUGAGGAAGGCUCGUCCGCUCAGGGUUAGUCGG
rnacentral:rRNA from 1 species